rnacentral:rRNA from 1 species
UACAGAGGGUGCAAGCGUUGUUCGGAAUUAUUGGGCGUAAAGGGCGCGUAGGCGGCUUCGUAAGUCAGAUGUGAAAGCCCAGGGCUCAACCUUGGAAGUGCAUCUGAAACUGUGUGGCUAGAGUCUCGGAGAGGGUGGUGGAAUUCCCAGUGUAGAGGUGAAAUUCGUAGAUAUUGGGAGGAACACCGGUGGCGAAGGCGACCACCUGGACGAUGACUGACGCUGAGGCGCGAAAGCGUGGGUAGCAAACAGG